AUUGAACGCUGGCGGCAUGCCUUACACAUGCAAGUCGAACGGUAACAGGUCUUCGGAUGCUGACGAGUGGCGAACGGGUGAGUAAUACAUCGGAACGUGCCUAGUAGUGGGGGAUAACUACUCGAAAGAGUGGCUAAUACCGCAUGAGAUCUACGGAUGAAAGCAGGGGAUCGCAAGACCUUGUGCUACUAGAGCGGCCGAUGGCAGAUUAGGUAGUUGGUGGGAUAAAAGCUUACCAAGCCGACGAUCUGUAGCUGGUCUGAGAGGACGAUCAGCCACACUGGGACUGAGACACGGCCCAGACUCCUACGGGAGGCAGCAGUGGGGAAUUUUGGACAAUGGGCGCAAGCCUGAUCCAGCAAUGCCGCGUGCAGGAUGAAGGCCUUCGGGUUGUAAACUGCUUUUGUACGGAACGAAAAGCCCUGGGUUAAUACCCUGGGGUCAUGACGGUACCGUGAGAAUAAGCACCGGCUAACUACGUG
rnacentral:rRNA from 1 species